rnacentral:lncRNA from 1 species
CAUGAGAUCGGGUUGGCCAAUUUUAAAUAAAUCACAAAUCGAAUCUCGGGCGGGAGAUUGGAUUAGCGAUUUUUUAAGUGAUUUCGAGUCGGAUUUUCGGGCGCGAAAAUCGGACUGUCAAUCCCAAAUUUAUUAGGCUAUUUCAUGUCAAACAUCUCAUCCUUACACUAAGGAAUAACUAUGCUAAAGAGAACAAAUAAAGUAAAAGAAGAUAAAUAAAUAAAAGAAAAGACUACCUAAAUUGAUUUUUCCUUUUUGUUUUUCUUUUCUUGCUUUCUUCACCCACGGCUGGGCAGCUUCUGUGGAUCACCAGGGAGACUUAGCUCACGGCUGGGAUGGCCGCUGCUGUUGCGACGGGCGACCGUGGGCGGUGGACACGGUCGUCGGAGGAACUCCGGCAAAGGGGCAGCGAACACGCGGCGAGGGAGGAGCCGGAGUCGAGUGCGGUUGGGGCGGGCAGCGAACUGCUGUGAUGCCGGGUCAGCGAACUCAGGACAGCGGGGGCGUCGUGGCUGGUGGUCUUUGGCGGACUGAGAGGCAGCGACGCGGGCAGCAGCAGGUGUGCCGUGAUGAAGGAGCGCGACUUGGCUUGGUCUGGACAACGAAAUCAGCAGCUCGUAUUCCUCAACCCAAGGAGCGGCAACUGGAUCGGCAGAGAUCAGCAAAUGUACAGAGACUUGGGGCAAUAGCAACGUCUUCACCGGAACAUGGAAAGCAACCAAGUUGGUCGCAGCUCGCUUGCUGCCCAGGGAGUGGAGCGACGGCUCUAUGGUGCAGCGGCGGGUGAGUCGGAGACGUGGGUUGUUGCAGGAGGACCAGCAACAGGUCGAACGGAGACGUGGCUCUUCGUGGUCCCGGGAGUGGCGGUGGGUCGUCAGCGUCGAGUGGAGACACGGGUUGCUGCGACGAGCGCUACAGGUUGCUGGCGUCAACGGCAAGGACGGUGGCGCGGCGUCGGAGACCGUGGUUAGGCGUGGCG